CACGUAGGGCGCAAGCGUUGUCCGGAAUUAUUGGGCGUAAAGAGCUCGUAGGCGGCUAGGUAGGUCCGUUGUGAAAACUCGAGGCUCAACCUCGAGACGUCGAUGGAAACCAUCUAGCUAGAGUCCGGAAGAGGAGAGUGGAAUUCCUGGUGUAGCGGUGAAAUGCGCAGAUAUCAGGAAGAACACCCGUGGCGAAGGCGGCUCUCUGGUACGUGACUGACGCUGAGACGCGAAAGCGUGGGGAGCGAACAGG
rnacentral:rRNA from 1 species